rnacentral:rRNA from 1 species
AGUGAACGCUGGCGGUAGGCCUAACACAUGCAAGUCGAACGGCAGCACAGUAAGAGCUUGCUCUUACGGGUGGCGAGUGGCGGACGGGUGCGGAAUACAUCGGAAUCUACUUUUUCGUGGGGGAUAACGUAGGGAAACUUACGCUAAUACCGCAUACGACCUACGGGUGAAAGCAGGGGAUCUUCGGACCUUGCGCGAUUGAAUGAGCCGAUGUCGGAUUAGCUAGUUGGCGGGGUAAAGGCCCACCAAGGCGACGAUCCGUAGCUGGUCUGAGAGGAUGAUCGGCCACACUGGAACUGAGACACGGUCCAGACUCCUACGGGAGGCAGCAGUGGGGAAUAUUGGACAAUGGGCGCAAGCCUGAUCCAGCCAUACCGCGUGGGUGAAGAAGGCCUUCGGGUUGUAAAGCCCUUUUGUUGGGAAAGAAAAGCAGCAGGUUAAUACCCCGCUGUUCUGACGGUACCCAAAGAAUAAGCACCGGCUAACUUCGUG